rnacentral:lncRNA from 1 species
CUUGGCCAAAAAAUAACAGCUUCAAGAGUCAAGAACUUGUCAAGAAGCAGCUUUACUGACCAUGCCUUCAAAAGUAAGAAAGAGUUCAGUCAUAGUGAGCUGCCCAAUUCCACUGCUCAAAUGUAUCCACACUAAUUCUGCAUGUGUUCUGUGACUUUGGUUAUCUCUGCUCUGAGCUGCAAAUUGCUGUUUUUCAGGAAAACUGCUGUUUCGGAUGCAGUCUUACUGAACCUUUGCCCAGUGCUGAAACCAAACUGAAUCUGAGCCUUUUCCAGGAAGACUGGGAGGAGAUGUGAAAACUGUUUAGAACUA